UAAUACGAAAGGUGCAAGCGUUGUUCGGAUUUACUGGGCGUAAAGAGAUCGUAGGUGGUUUGUUAAGUCGGAUGUGAAAUCCCGGGGCUCAACCCCGGAACUGCAUUCGAUACUGGCAGGCUAGAGUUUGGGAGGGGUAAGCGGAAUUCCGUGUGUAGCAGUGAAAUGCGUAGAUAUACGGAGGAACACCUGAGGCGAAGGCGGCUUACUGGACCAAUACUGACACUGAGGAUCGAAAGCGUGGGUAGCAAACAGGAUUAGAUACCCUGGUAGUCCACGCCCUAAACGAUGUCAACUAGCCGUUGCGGGUAUCGACCCCUGCAGUGGCGAAGCUAACGCGAUAAGUUGACCGCCUGGGGAGUACGGUCGCAAGAUUA
rnacentral:rRNA from 1 species